UGUGUCGUGCUGGCCAUGCCUUUCCUUUAAGUAAGGAUCACGUUGCAAGUUGUCUUGAGGAAAGGGAGCGUGUUAUUAGUGCAGGGGGACAGGUUAAAUGGCAAGUUGAUACUUGGAGGGUUGGUCCUGCUGCGCUCCAGGUCACUCGCUCCAUUGGUGAUGACGAUUUGAAGCCUGCUGUAACUGCAGAACCUGAGAUAACUGAAACCACUUUGUCAGCAGAGGAUGAAUUUUUGGUGAUGGCUAGUGAUGGACUUUGGGAUGUCGUGAG
rnacentral:misc_RNA from 1 species